rnacentral:rRNA from 1 species
UACGAAGGGGGCUAGCGUUGUUCGGAAUCACUGGGCGUAAAGCGCGCGUAGGCGGCUUGUUAAGUCAGGGGUGAAAUCCUGGAGCUCAACUCCAGAACUGCCUUUGAUACUGGCGAUCUCGAGUCCGGGAGAGGUGAGUGGAACUGCGAGUGUAGAGGUGAAAUUCGUAGAUAUUCGCAAGAACACCAGUGGCGAAGGCGGCUCACUGGCCCGGUACUGACGCUGAGGUGCGAAAGCGUGGGGAGCAAACAGG